CCUGUAUCCUGUUUCUAUACUCCGAGACCGAGGUUAGCGUGGUGGGGAAGUUGCAAGAUCUCUAAUGCGGUUUGACUCGUUUGCUGGCCACCCACGUGUUAGGAUCGAACCCGUGUUCAGACUGUAGGUGGUGGAGAGCGGUGUUCCGGCGGAGGGAAGCGGGCCCUGGGGCUGUUGAAUUCAGAACAGGCUGAAAAUGGAAUUAAUUUUCUGGGAGGAAACAAUUGCUUUGGACCAGUGCCAUGUUCCAGAUAUGGGGAGCAAUGAGCUGAUGGUGAAGAGGCAGGAGACUGACUCCCCAACCCCACAAAAUGAUUGGGGCUGAAGAAGACAAAUGAAGUAACUGAAUCUUGAAAAUGGGCUGAAAUGAAACAUCCCAGACCUGAGCACACAGGACAGUAGGGGUAAGAGUCUCCUGCUGAGUAGGGCCUUAAAGAAAAGGGAUUGAGUGGUUUUACAGCCUACAUGAGCUGAGUUAAGGAUAAUCAGCUUCUGUGCUUUCAGGGCGUGCUCUGAUCUCUGUGAGGGGUAGUGGGGAUUAGCCAGAGUUGUGUUGUUGGAGGUAUAAGGUGACCAGAUGUCCCGAUUUUAUAGGGACAGUCACAAUUUUUGGGUCUUUUUCUUAUAUAGGCUCCUGUUGUCUCCCCACCCCCGUCCUGAUUUUUCAUACUUGCUGUCUGGUCACCCUAUGGAGGCAGGAUGCUUGACUUGAUGGGCCCAUCCACUGUUUUAUUAGUAGUUCUAUUACACUGUUGCCUAGAGGCCCUACUGUGCUGGAGGUUGUAGAGUCACUUAAAGAAACCAUCCCUGUCCCAAAGAUUUUUUGUUGGCUUUGUCUGCUUAGGUUAUAAAAGAUGGAAGACAGGAAAUAUCAGCAUUACAGAUGAGGAGAGCUGAAGACUGAGAUUUUUCAAAGGAGCCCAGUGGAGUUAGGCACCCAAACCAGAGAUUUUAAAGGACUUAUUUGAGGUCACCCAGGGAGCCUGUGGCAGAGCUGAAAACUGAGCCCAGUUGUCCCAGUCCAGAGCCUUAACCACACAACUAUCUUGAGGGUGAGUGUUGAUUGGAGACCCAGCCCACAAGACAUUUCUUCUCAGACCUAUGAGACUCUUCUGUGCUUUGUCACUGGUAGUGUCAAAGCUGGGUUUGAGGGCAUGGGUGGAGUCUGCCAUGAGUAUAUUCAAUCCAUCUUUCACCUGAUGACACAGGCCCUGAGCAGACCCCACUGCAUUGCGGAUGGAGAGGCGCAUUAACUCCCUCUCCCAUUUUGAGCCUGCAAUGAAAUCUAGUAGAUGUGGUUAAGGUUUAAGACCUGGAGGAAUCAUUAUGACUAGAUAGACUGACUCCCUGCAUCGUAGGGAGCAUAGAAAGUCACCUAGUAAUCCCCCCUAUGACUCCCUGACUCCUUCCCAUUUCUAAAACUCAACCAAUUAUCCCCCCUAUCCCUGCAUGCUGCUUUUAAAUAGUUCCCUGUACUAGCCCUUCUCGCCUCACUGCAUUUCCAGGUAACUUCACUGUGCCAUUUCCCUGGCUGGAACUGCUGUGCCCUUACAAAUUACUCAUAUGGCCUUAUUGAAAAGCCAGAUAUUUGUAGGCCAGACGGAACUGUUAGAUUGCCUAGUUUGAGCUCCAGUUUAAUACCAGCCGGAGAACUUCACCUAGCGAUCCCUCUGAUUGUAUUUGAUUAACGCAUCCCUCCUAGAAAGGCAUCCGUCUCUAAUUUUUCAGCGUCCUUAUUAAAAUUUGGACACCAGAACCGGAUGUGAUAAUCCAGUAUCAGACUCACCAGUGCCAUAUACAUGGGUGAAAUCACCUCCCUGCUUCUACUGGCUAGUACCUGUGGGGAUUUUAUCUGUCGUCUUCUUGCAGGUGGAGUUGGGAAGCUUGGGAGUCCAUGUUGGAACAUGAGGCAGGGGCAGGAACUCUAAAAACAAAAUGGGAUGGUUUCUCCUCACCCUGGAUCCCUUAUAGGAAUCACAGAUGUAAGUACUGCUGGAGGGAUGAUUUGAGAUGAGCCUUCAAGGAAAACGUAUCUUUCUCUCCACCAACGUCAAUUGUAAGAGAGAAUUUGGGCCCUGAGGAUUAAAAAUGUUGGCCUGUCUCUGAUCUGUAUUACAAGGACUCUUCGAAGUUAUGUCCAGGAAAGUUUGUACUAAAAACAGGAUUAAACUAGAAUGGAUGUGUAAGAGUUGGGUAUUUUUGUAAAAACGUUCAGUAAUAGAACUGAGGGGGAAAUGGAGGUUUCUCAACUGUAAUCCACUGGUCUGAAUUCAGCCCAGGUCAGUAGUGGUUGUGGUUGAGAUUUUCACAGGAGACUUAAGGGCUUUAGAUGGCAUGCUGCUUUAGGCUCCUUUUGAAAAUCCCAGAUAUUUUUAAAGCUCUUAGUCACUGUAAUAUCUGUGGACUUGUACAAAAUUUAGGCUACGGAUAGUUAAUCAACAUUGGUCUAUUUAUUACUUGGUCCGAAAUUACUUUCCACUUUUCUGUGAAUUUACUCUCCCGUGUCCACUGUCUGUCUUCUACUACCAACACCAUUUAGGUUAGGCUGAGAUUUUCAAAUGUGUGCAGGAUUUGGACACUCAGUUCCCAUUUAAAAAAUUAAUGGGAAUUUAACCGGCAUAUGCCAUAGAUUUGAAAAUCCUUAACCUAAAUGUAUUUAAACUACGUCUCCCUCACUCGCCUGACACCAGCGCAGACCCUUAUUUCGUGCUCCCAAUGUUGUCAUCCUCUCUCAUCCUUUUUUCUCUCCACCCCAAAUAUGUAGAUCCUUUCCCACUUUGUUGGCAGCCAUCACUGCACAUCACCUACAUAUUACAGCUCUUGUGUUGAACAGCAGGGAGGCAGUGAGAGAGAUGGAGCUGAGCACUAGGGCUGUGUGAACUGACUUCAGCAACGUGUGGUUUUGAGUUUAGACGUCUUGGGUUACAUGGAAGUCAGGACAAAAUCUCAAUGUCAUGAGCAGAGAUGCCAAGCUGGACCCUCAAAACCAGGGCCAUCCCAGAAAACAUGGGCCAUUUGGUCAUCAAGAGUUUUAACGAGUUUGUGGGGAUUCAGCUGAACACAAAAAAACAAGCAUUUCCCCAAAACCAUGUUUUUAAAGCAGGAUGAAUCUAAAAAUUUUGUAACUAUCCUAUUUGUCAAUCAUUUGGAACUUCUCCUUACGCAGAAUUUGCAGUUUCAUUCUUUUAAUGUGAUUGCCUUUUUACUGUGUGUGAUAGUCUCACUCAAUUUGAUAGCAUUUCUGUGUAUUUGUCUGUACAUGUGUAAUGUGAUCACUUUUCAACACUAUGCUCUCCUUUCCAGUUUUUUCAGAGAAUGUUUGAGGUGCUGAGGGCCAAGAAUCUGUUGAUUUUGGAGAAAAUUGGAAAACUGAAGGGGAAAAUGGAGAGAGAGAGAGAGGGAUGAAUACACAGAGCCCUUGCUAGCUGUGUAGCACAACUGCAGAUUCAAGCAACUGUGCAAUUGACUAUAGACUCAAGAACUGGUUAAUGGCAGCCAUUAACCCCUUUCCCCCAUAACAAUGCCCCUAUCUAAUGUGUGUGUCCUACCAACAGAAUUUAACAUUUGGCACCCUGAAUAGCUUCUAGACAAAUAAUGGGGUGGGGAAAAUGGGGCAUGCACACAGCCUCAGCAUGGUGGGGGGUGAAGGGGGAGAUGAGCGGGGAGUGCACAGAAUCUAGUGAGGAAAAUUGGUUUGGAGGAAGGCGGCAUGCAGCUCCUUCCAUAGAGGAGACUAGGGUGCAGAAAGACCCCUUGAAUUGGGGGUGAUGGGGAAGAAUGGGGAACUAGAGCACACACAGCUCCUACCAUUGAAGGGGGAGACGAGGGGACAUAGAUAUAGAUAAAUGGGGACAUACAGAGCCCCUGCCACGAGGUAAUUUAGGGGACCUUGGCAUAGGGGUAGAUUGGAAUGAAGGGUGCACACAGCUGCUGGCAUGGGGGGAGUUGCAGCAAGCCCCUGAAUUGGAGGGUGGCAUAUAGGGUGCUCGUCAAGAAAUGCAAAGAGUCCCUGAUGUGUACCAUAAGCUCAGCCUACAGAAGCAAUGAAAUAUGCAACCCACCACCUUAAAUCCAAAUUAACAACAUAAUCCAACACUAUUGAACCGUCCAAACUAGAUGGUAAGGUUUGCACUUAUCAGGUUGGGUGGCUGAUUGAAUCCACAUGGAGUCAUUUUGUGACAUGGUUAUUUUUGGAGGCUGGAAGGGGGGAGGUGAAAUUAGGACAAAUGGAGAUGUCUGUUAGCAUCCUGGUCCCUUCCAGCAGCAGCUCCAUCAGUGUUGGAGGCAGGGUAGAGAGA